rnacentral:rRNA from 1 species
ACCCUUUAAUGUUUGAUGUUCUAACGUGGACCCGUAAUCCGGGUUGCGGACAGUGUCUGGUGGGUAGUUUGACUGGGGCGGUCUCCUCCUAAAGAGUAACGGAGGAGCACGAAGGUUGGCUAAUCCUGGUCGGACAUCAGGAGGUUAGUGCAAUGGCAUAAGCCAGCUUGACUGCGAGCGUGACGGCGCGAGCAGGUGCGAAAGCAGGUCAUAGUGAUCCGGUGGUUCUGAAUGGAAGGGCCAUCGCUCAACGGAUAAAAGGUACUCCGGGGAUAACAGGCUGAUACCGCCCAAGAGUUCAUAUCGACGGCGGUGUUUGGCACCUCGAUGUCGGCUCAUCACAUCCUGGGGCUGAAGUAGGUCCCAAGGGUAUGGCUGUUCGCCAUUUAAAGUGGUACGCGAGCUGGGUUUAGAACGUCGUGAGACAGUUCGGUCCCUAUCUGCCGUGGGCGCUGGAGAACUGAGGGGGGCUGCUCCUAGUACGAGAGGACCGGAGUGGACGCAUCACUGGUGUUCGGGUUGUCAUGCCAAUGGCACUGCCCGGUAGCUAAAUGCGGAAGAGAUAAGUGCUGAAAG